GACACGGGGUGCCGCUUGGCUGAGAUUAGACCCGUCGAACCUGAUCUAGUUAGGACUAGCGAAGGGAUGUCGC
rnacentral:ncRNA from 1 species